GCCGCGAUAGCUCAGUAGGGAGAGCGUUAGACUGAAGAUCUAAAGGUCCCUGGUUCGAUCCCGGGUCGCGGCA
rfam:Macrostomum lignano uti_cns_0006753, whole genome shotgun sequence.